rnacentral:rRNA from 1 species
AUUGAACGCUGGCGGCAUGCUUUACACAUGCAAGUCGAACGGCAGCGCGGGCUUCGGCCUGGCGGCGAGUGGCGAACGGGUGAGUAAUGCAUCGGAACGUGCCCAGUAGUGGGGGAUAGCCCGGCGAAAGCCGGAUUAAUACCGCAUACGACCUGAGGGUGAAAGCGGGGGACCGAAAGGCCUCGCGCUAUUGGAGCGGCCGAUGUCGGAUUAGCUAGUUGGUGGGGUAAAGGCUUACCAAGGCGACGAUCCGUAGCUGGUCUGAGAGGACGACCAGCCACACUGGGACUGAGACACGGCCCAGACUCCUACGGGAGGCAGCAGUGGGGAAUUUUGGACAAUGGGGGCGACCCUGAUCCAGCCAUGCCGCGUGCGGGAAGAAGGCCUUCGGGUUGUAAACCGCUUUUGUUCGGGAAGAAAACCUCUGGGCUAAUACCCCGGGGGGAUGACGGUACCGGAAGAAUAAGCACCGGCUAACUACGUG